AUUGAACGCUGGCGGCAUGCCUUACACAUGCAAGUCGAACGGUAACAGGUCUUCGGAUGCUGACGAGUGGCGAACGGGUGAGUAAUACAUCGGAACGUGCCCGAGAGUGGGGGAUAACGAGGCGAAAGCUUUGCUAAUACCGCAUACGAUCUCAGGAUGAAAGCAGGGGACCGCAAGGCCUUGCGCCCACGGAGCGGCCGAUGGCAGAUUAGGUAGUUGGUGGGAUAAAAGCUUACCAAGCCGACGAUCUGUAGCUGGUCUGAGAGGACGACCAGCCACACUGGGACUGAGACACGGCCCAGACUCCUACGGGAGGCAGCAGUGGGGAAUUUUGGACAAUGGGCGCAAGCCUGAUCCAGCCAUGCCGCGUGCAGGAUGAAGGCCUUCGGGUUGUAAACUGCUUUUGUACGGAACGAAAAGACUCUGGUUAAUACCUGGGGUCCAUGACGGUACCGUAAGAAUAAGCACCGGCUAACUCUGUGCCAGCAGCCGCAGUAAUAC
rnacentral:rRNA from 1 species